UACGAAGGGGGCUAGCGUUGCUCGGAAUUACUGGGCGUAAAGAGCGUGUAGGCGGCCCGAUAAGUCCGCCGUGAAAGUCCAGGGCUCAACCCUGGAAUGCCGGUGGAAACUGUCGGGCUGGAGUCCGGAAGAGGCGAGUGGAAUUCCUGGUGUAGCGGUGAAAUGCGCAGAUAUCAGGAGGAACACCAAUGGCGAAGGCAGCUCGCUGGGACGGUACUGACGCUGAGACGCGAAAGCGUGGGGAGCAAACAGG
rnacentral:rRNA from 1 species